CUCAAUUAGAUAUUUAUGAUAUGAAUAUAUAGUAGAAAUAAGAUAAUUAGAACAAACAUAAAAAAUGAAUUACAAGUUCUCCUAAGUUCAGAAAUCUUAUGGUGCCUAGCUUGAGCAUGCGUAGCAAGCCUGCAUCCGCUUGCACAAUAACAAUAGAUUUAAUUUAUUUCAUGGCUUAAGAAACCUCAAAAACUCAGUAACAUAUUUACACAAAGGCUUAUAAAUCUCACAAUACAUUUUAAUUAUAUUCCUUCUUCCGUGUGUGUUAGUAAUCUAACACACUGCAUGACUGCAAACAAGUUCUAGAAUUGUAUUCUCAAAUCCUAAAAAAUGAGCCAUAUGGGUAGGGUGUCACAUUAAUCCUAUCAAAUUAGAUUAGAACAAAGUAUAUGCCUCGUAAAAGUAGAAGUAGCAUACGUGUACCAAAUGAAAAGUCAUAUUUUUUUUGUGAAUCUGCUUCACAUCUAAUGUGGUCCAACUUGUAGAAUGAAAAGAGAUUGAUGAGCCGAACAAACCUGCUCAUGUUUAUUUAAACUGACUCAUGAUUGUGCUAGCUCAUUAAGAGAAUAGAAAGAGACCUUGUGUGGUGUGAUCUCGUCGUCACAGCGGAAAUCACCUCGUGUACCUCUGCAGGGUAGAGAUCAUGAGGGGCCUAUCCAGCAGACACGGUCCUGCCGCCGAAGCUGCGCCCAUGUAAGGAAUGUGCAGCCGUGCAUGCAGCCUCCUUUCGCAUGAACUCCUCCUUGGUCCUGGCCACCAGGUAGGCAACAAAUGUCUUAAUUGACUAACUAAGUUCUUAAAAUAUGAUUCAAAUGCAUACAAACUGAAAUAAGAAGCAAGGUACAGUGGGUAGAUGAUAGAUUGCAAGAACAAAAAUCACAAUAGGAGUCUAUAAAAAAAUACAGAGAAUGGAUGGCUUGCAUGAUGACCAACUACCUAGUUGACAAUAAAUCAAACACGCCGAAGCUUUUUUUUUGUAUACACAGAUAUAUCCAACAACUUCAGUUUAUGGUCUAGAUCUUUUUUGCAGAACAUGUUUUACCAUUAAUUAUUCAAAUACACAUCCAUCAUGUGUCUUUCAUUACACACUCAACCAAACACGAGUACACUAUACAUCAAUUAACAAUCCAUGUUACCAAAUAAACUUCAGAAGGCUUCGUGUUAUACUGACUAGCAGCAACCAUGCUUGCAAAAAUCCGAGAAUACAAAGUAGAUUCUAUAUUUAGACCCAGAUCUAGC
rnacentral:lncRNA from 1 species